rnacentral:rRNA from 1 species
AAUAGAUACCCUGGUAGUCCACGCCGUAAACGAUGUCGACUUGGAGGUUGUCCCCUUGAGGAGUGGCUUCCGGAGCUAACGCGUUAAGUCGACCGCCUGGGGAGUACGGCCGCAAGGUUAAAACUCAAAUGAAUUGACGGGGGCCCGCACAAGCGGUGGAGCAUGUGGUUUAAUUCGAUGCAACGCGAAGAACCUUACCUACUCUUGGCAUCCAGAGAACUUAGCAGAGAUGCUUUGGUGCCUUCGGGAACUCUGAGACAGGUGCUGCAUGGCUGUCGUCAGCUCGUGUUGUGAAAUGUUGGGUUAAGUCCCGCAACGAGCGCAACCCUUAUCCUUUGUUGCCAGCGGUUAGGCCGGGAACUCAAAGGAGACUGCCAGUGAUAAACUGGAGGAAGGUGGGGAUGACGUCAAGUCAUCAUGGCCCUUACGAGUAGGGCUACACACGUGCUACAAUGGCGCAUACAAAGAGAAGCGACCUCGCGAGAGCAAGCGGACCUCAUAAAGUGCGUCGUAGUCCGGA